UACGGAGGGAGCUAGCGUUGUUCGGAAUUACUGGGCGUAAAGCGCACGUAGGCGGCUUUGUAAGUUAGAGGUGAAAGCCCGGGGCUCAACUCCGGAACUGCCUUUAAGACUGCAUCGCUUGAAUCCAGGAGAGGUGAGUGGAAUUCCGAGUGUAGAGGUGAAAUUCGUAGAUAUUCGGAAGAACACCAGUGGCGAAGGCGGCCCACUGGACUGGUAUUGACGCUGAGGUGCGAAAGCGUGGGGAGCAAACAGG
rnacentral:rRNA from 1 species